rnacentral:rRNA from 1 species
CCUACGGGUGGCAGCAGUGGGGAAUAUUGCGCAAUGGGCGAAAGCCUGACGCAGCGACGCCGCGUGAGGGAUGAAGGUCUUCGGAUCGUAAACCUCUGUCAGCAGGGAAGAACGGUCACUGUGCUAAUCAGCAGUGAAUUGACGGUACCUGCAAAGGAAGCACCGGCUAACUCCGUGCCAGCAGCCGCGGUAAUACGGAGGGUGCGAGCGUUAAUCGGAAUUACUGGGCGUAAAGCGCUCGUAGGCGGUAUGUCAAGUCAAGGGGGAAAUCCCCGCGCGCAACGUGGGAACUGCCUUUGAAACGGGCAAACUGGAGUGUGUGAGAGGAUAGUGGAUUUCCAGGUGUAGGAGUGAAAUCGGUAAAUAGCGGGAGGAACAUCAGGGGAGAGGGCGACUAUCUGGCACAUAACUGACGCUGAGGAGCGAAAGCGUGGGUAGCAAACAGGAUUAGAUACCCUAGUAGUC